GGCAGACGGGCAGAGCUGUUUAUAGCUCUCUGUAAGGGUUUCACCUUCAUCUUUCGGUUUCUCUCUAUCAGCCCAGGAGCUGCUGAGCUUGCAAUCACGGUGCCAGGUGGGAGCGUUUAGGUACAAACAGCCCUCCAGCCCCCUGUCCCACCCCCUCCACAGCAGCCCGUCCUUUCUUUUCAGCGUUUGAGCUUUACAGAGUCAUGGUUUUUAAAUGACUCAGGUGGCUUCCUUUAGAAAUCAACGGGUUUAAGCUGUCUGCCUUGCCCUGAUGCUCCAGUGCAGGCAGAAAGUUCAAGGCAAAGCUUUUUGUGCGUGGAUCAAUAGGAUGCUGGGUUCAUCUUGCUGGAAGGGCUGCCUCUUUGUUUAGUUUUUCUGACUUCGCAGUUUUAUUUCUGAAGUUCUGCAAACCUUUAAAGCAGGAACACUAAUGAGCAUCCGGGGCGAAGCAAGGUUUGUCCUUCGCUGCGUUAGCUUCAGCAGUGGCACUUCAUCAGGAGGACUGUUAUCUACACGAGCAGAAAUGCGACCUGCUCCAAGGAUUUCUAGAGUUUAAACUGAAGCAGCUCGGGGUAAACACGAUGUGCUGGAGAGUCCGGGAAUGUGGAUGAUGGAAACUUGGAAAAAAUAAUAAAAGAAAAGGUGACUCACUGCUGGGAAGCAUCAUGGAAGAAGUGUGUCUCAGGAGCCGGGCUGGCUUCCCUUCUAGGAACAGAGAUCCCAAAACACGGAUCAGAAAUAGGCUGUGCUGCUGGGCUCCUACCUCCAACACUUUUUUUUUUGCAGAAUUGCAGCAUUUUCAGUGUCUGACACAGCAGAGCUAGAUACCACGAU